AUUAGCUUCCAGGACUGUUUUGAUUGCAGUCUUCAUUUCAUCAGUAGUUGUGAAGUCAUUUAAGGGCUGCAGAUUAACUUGUGUUCUGCUUAAGAGAUGAGAGUUGCCCUUGCUAGUGGAAUGGCUAUGAGACUCUGCGGUUGGCACUUGGGUCUGGACCUGGAGCUGGGGUCAAUGGAUGUUCCCACCACAGUUUUUCUAGCUGGGUUGCAGACUGCAGAGGCAUGUGGCUGAGCUUGUGAGACUAGAGCUGCCCUAUCAAGAAUGUGAAGAAUUGUAUUACCUAAAUAUGAAGAAACUAAAGAGAAGAAAAAAUCUGAUCUGCCUCACCUAGGAGAGUUACCCACUGAUUUCUAGAUCAUUGCUUAUCACUUUCCUCAAUCGAAAACUUGAGACCCUGAAAUCAUGCAAGCAAAAUCGGACUGAAGUUCUCUUCUUUUGCAGUUACUUCCAGUUGACAAAUGGGGCAAAAGAAUGGAACCCAUUCUUUCUCUCUGU